UACGUAGGGCGCAAGCGUUGUCCGGAAUUAUUGGGCGUAAAGAGCUCGUAGGCGGCCAGUUGCGUCCGCUGUGAAAUCCCAGGGCUUAACCCUGGGCGUGCAGUGGAUACGGGCUGGCUGGAGGCAGGCAGGGGAGAACGGAAUUCCCGGUGUAGCGGUGAAAUGCGCAGAUAUCAGGAGGAACACCGAUGGCGAAGGCAGGUCUCUGGGCAUUAACUGACGCUGAGGAGCGAAAGCAUGGGGAGCAAACGGG
rnacentral:rRNA from 1 species